rnacentral:ncRNA from 13 species
GGGCUAUUAGCUCAGUUGGUUAGAGCGCACCCCUGAUAAGGGUGAGGUCGCUGAUUCGAAUUCAGCAUAGCCCA